UUAGUCUUCUUUAUCUUUGUCAAGUUUUCUUAAAGUUUUUGACAGGCUUUAUUAUUUACUGUUUAUUUUAAAUCUUUAUCUAGUUCUAAAAUAAAUAGUUACUUCUUUUUGGUGAAUUGAACCUGAUUUGUAUUAGUUCUACACUUUUAAUUUAUUUUCUUAUUUUAAGGCACAGGAUUACUUUAUCAACUGCUGUAGUUAAUUGAUGCCUGGUGUUUCCCCUCAUCUAUUUUCACUUUUACCUGUGAAGGUAAAUGCUCCAAACAAUCAUCUUUGCUUUUUUUGUCACUAAUUGCUAUGCCUGGGAAAACAAACUGCAGUUCUGCUGUUCCUGGUUGAAGUCAAUGGGUGCUCUUAGUGCACACAAAAAAUGCAGCGCAGGGAAGCUUCCACCUGCCCAGUCCUCAAGGAAAUGUCAGAUGGGAAGAGGCCUCCUAAAUUCGGAGUGCCUGUUCCAGUGGGGGAUGUGUAUUUUUAAUUAUCUGCUGUCCUUAGUUGAAGAGAUUUGUCCCUGCACUGUAUAAGUGUACUUCUGCUUGGUGAGUACCCAUGCACAGCAGUUUUAUUAAAAUGGUAAUUUGCUUUCUCCAAACAUUUGUAGCUAUCACUGCUACAUCUGUAACAGAAAUUCCUGGGUAAGAGCACUUGAAACUAGUCCAGGGUUGCUUUAAUUUUUGAAUUGUGCCUGUGCAGAGAUCAGUUUCAGAUUUUAAAGAACUUCUUCUGUAGAUACUGAGAUUCAUUUUUCCUGACACUUUUCCAUAGCUAAUGCCCUCAGCAGUGGGAAAUAAGAACACAGUAUGAUGAUGAUGAUGAUGAUGAUGAUGAUAACAAUAAUAAUAACUUAUUUAUUUAUCCUUAAGAUACAGGUCUUUCUGUUUGUUUCCAAGAUGCUUUUCAAAAGAUAAGACAACCAUCUGGAGAAGAGAUAUUUGUUAGUAAUAUAGUUUAAAUAUGGAUGUUUAUCUACCAGUGUUAAAGCAACUGUUGGGAGGAGGAAGCCUUGAAAUGUUUUUGGUUCAUUACUGACUUUAGGCUCCCCCAGAAUUCAGAGCCCCACAGAACUGAUCCAAAGCCCUCAAAUCCUUGGGAUCCCUUUCCAUAGCCUUGGUAUAUUUUGGAGAAAUUUGCACCCACAAUGUUCUCCCUUCCUGAGCAAGGGCAGGUCUAACAGCCUGUUUGGGAGAUACCAGUGCCCAAAUUUCCUUUGUCUGGGGCUGCUUGGCCAUCAUUUAUCCCAGUUUUAGGGGAGCUGUUAAGCUUUUUGUGGGAAUCAGAACUCUCCCUCUUACAUAACACCAACGUUUUGUAAGAAGAAUUGUGAAAAGCUGGGUAAAAAAUGCACCAAAAAAGCUGCUUCUCCAAGUUCUGGUUGUAACUGCUUGGAAAACAACAAGGUGUUGUACUGGAUUCUUGGGCUUUAUCAAUUGCUUGUAAACAACCUUAAGCACUUGGUGCUGAGGAAUCGAAGUAUUUUUCUUUUAGUGCUAUUUUUACACACAAAAAAAGGCCUCUCUCAGAGGUAGCAGAAGGAUUUUAACUUCCACUGGAUGUGUUAAAAGAAGAAAAUAUCUCUUAAGCCAGCGGUUGCUGCCUGUAUAUUAAUGCUUAGCAGGUUAUUUCUGUAUCAUGCAAGUGAAAUUCAUAUUCUGUAUCUGUUGCUGAGGAAUGAUGCAGUGAUAAUUGUGAGCUUUUGUGGAAGAGGACUUGUAAGUUCUUGGGGGCAUUUCUGUCCAUAGCUGAGUAGAACUGCAGAUUAUGCAAGCUUUUCCAGUUGCCAACAAAAUGAUGGAUCAAGUUCACAGCACAAGUAGCCCAUGAAGCAGAGCAGGAACUGCAGGAGAAUGGUCUUGAUACCUACAGGUUACAGAGGAUCUACUUUUUAAUAAAAAGGUGCAAAACCUCUUUGAACUCCUGUGC
rnacentral:lncRNA from 1 species